rnacentral:rRNA from 1 species
UGCCUUAGUAACGGCGAGUGAAGCGGCAAAAGCUCAAAUUUGAAAUCUGGUACCUUUGGUGCCCGAGUUGUAAUUUGGAGAGUACCACUUUGGGACUGUACUUUGCCUAUGUUCCUUGGAACAGGACGUCAUGGAGGGUGAGAAUCCCGUGUGGCGAGGGUGUCAGUUCUUUGUAAAGGGUGCUCGAAGAGUCGAGUUGUUUGGGAAUGCAGCUCUAAGUGGGUGGUAAAUUCCAUCUAAAGCUAAAUACAGGCGAGAGACCGAUAGCGAACAAGUACAGUGAUGGAAAGAUGAAAAGAACUUUGAAAAGAGAGUGAAAAAGUACGUGAAAUUGUUGAAAGGGAAGGGCAUUUGAUCAGACAUGGUGUUUUGCGCCCCUUGCCUCUCGUGGGCUUGGGACUCUCGCAGCUCACUGGGCCAGCAUCGGUUUUGGCGGCCGGAAAAAACCUAGGGAAUGUGGCUCUGCGCCUCGGUGUAGAGUGUUAUAGCCCUGGGGAAUACGGCCAGCCGGGACCGAGGACUGCGAUACUUGUUAUCUAGGAUGCUG